rnacentral:sRNA from 1 species
GCUGGAUGCAGUGGUGCACACCUGUAAUCCCAGUGACUUGGGAGGCUGAGGCAGGAGGAUUGCAAGUUUGAGGCUCACUUCAGCAAUUUAGUGAGGCCCUAAGCAGUUUAGCAAGACUCUGUCUCAA